rnacentral:tRNA from 1 species
GGGUCGGUAGCUCAGUUGGUAGAGCACGGGACUGAAAAUCCCGGUUCGCGCUGGUUCGAUCCCAGCCCCUCCCACCA